rnacentral:sRNA from 1 species
CCAUACUGCGCACGACCCCCAGGUACAGA